rnacentral:rRNA from 1 species
ACGCUGGCGGCACGCCUAACACAUGCAAGUCGAACGCAGUAGCAAUACUGAGUGGCAAACGGGUGAGUAUAAUGUGGGAAUCUGCCUUUUGGUUUGGAAUAACACGGGGAAACUUGUGCUAAUACCGAAUAAGCCCUUACGGGGAAAGUUUUAACGCCGAAAGAUGAGCCUGCACUUGAUUAGCUAGUUGGUAAGGUAAAGGCUUACCAAGGCUACGAUCAAUAGCUGUUCUUAGAGGAAGACCAGCCACAUUGGGACUGAGACACGGCCCAGACUCCUACGGGAGGCAGCAGUGGGGAAUCUUGCACAAUGGGGGAAACCCUGAUGCAGCGAUGCCGCGUGAGUGAAGAAGGCCCUUGGGUUGUAAAACUCUUUCGUCGGGGAAGAAAAUGACUGUACCCGAAUAAGAAGGUCCGGCUAACUUCGUGCCAGCAGCCGCGGUAAUACGAAGGGACCUAGCGUAGUUCGGAAUUACUGGGCUUAAAGAGCUCGUAGGUGGUUAAAAAAGUUGAUGGUGAAAUCCCAAGGCUCAACCUUGGAACUGCCAUCAAAACUUUUUAGCUAGAGUGUGAUAGAGGUAAGUGGAAUUUCUAGUGUAGAGGUGAAAUUCGUAGAUAUUAGAAAGAACACCAAAUGCGAAGGCAACUUACUGGGUCACUACUGACACUGAGGAGCGAAAGCAUGGGUAGCGAAGAGGAUUAGAUACCCUCGUAGUCCAUGCCGUAAACGAUGUGUGCUAGACGUUGGAAAUAUAUUUUUCAGUGUCGCAGCGAAAGCAUUAAGCACACCGCCUGGGGAGUACG